UCUUUGGUAAUAAUGCAACUAUUCUUAGGAAGAAGUAUUCAGUCACUCAUCUGUAAAGGGAUUCAUUAUAUAGAACUGUUAACCAAGAGAAACAACUAUCUCAUUGCCCGCUUAGGCAAAUGGGAGACUGGGAAUCUGGACAGAGCGUGAGUGAACAGAAUGAAGAUGACAAGAAAGGGAAAGAAAGCUCUUUUCACCCUUACAAACCCUGUAAGAGAGGAACAAAACGGACACAGCAGUUCUGUGCUUCGCCUUCCAAAGUAAGCAACAGGACCAACAUCCGAAGCAAUAUCCGAGGCCACUGCACCCAGCAUCAGAGGUUGUAAUGACCCCAUUGUAGACCCUCACCACCAACAACGCUCCUAUGUAGUAGGCAUAACAUGUUCUAUGAAAGCAAGACCAUGGGAGGAACUGGCACGUGUGUUUGGGAAGAGAAAAAGGUUAUUGAGUGCCCACUAUGUGUCAGGCACUAAGCCGAGCGCUUCCACAUAUUAAUGUUUUACACUUGAGUUUUCACUAACAGCUCUAGUCUGUACUGUUAAUAAAAGAUAAAGAAAUCCAG